UACGGAGGGAGCUAGCGUUGUUCGGAAUUACUGGGCGUAAAGCGCGCGUAGGCGGCUUUGUAAGUUAGAGGUGAAAGCCCGGGGCUCAACCCCGGAAUUGCCUUUAAGACUGCAUCGCUUGAAUCCGGGGAGAGGUGAGUGGAAUUCCGAGUGUAGAGGUGAAAAUCGUAGAUAUUCGGAAGAACACCAGUGGCGAAGGCGCUCACUGGACCGGGCAUUGACGCUGAGGUGCGAAAGGCGUGGGGAGCGAACAGG
rnacentral:rRNA from 1 species